rnacentral:rRNA from 1 species
AUUGAACGCUAGCGGGAUGCUUUACACAUGCAAGUCGAACGGAGUGGCGGACGGGUGAGUAAUGUAUGGGGACCUGCCCGAUAGAGGGGGAUAACUACUCGAAAGGGUGGCUAAUACCGCAUACUAUCGGAUGGGCCCAUAUGGGAUUAGCUAGUUGGUGGGGUAAAGGCUCACCUAGGCAACGAUCCGUAGCUGGUCUGAGAGGACGAUCAGCCACACUGGGACUGAGACACGGCCCAGACUCCGACGGGAGGCAGCAGUGGGGAAUAUUGGACAAUGGGGGAAAGCCUGAUGCAGCCAUGCCGCGUGUAUGAUGAAGGCCUUCGGGUUGUAAAGUACUUUCGGCAGGGAAGCGUUAUCUGCAGAAGAAGCACCGGCUAACUACGUGCCAGCAGCCGCGGUAAUAC